AUGGGUUUAGGCUUAAGCCCAAAACUCCCUCUUGUUCCUAACCUACCCAAACCCAAAACCCAUUUCCAUUUCCUAAAAUUCUAUCUUUUGGGUAGUUUAUUAAAUUGUACAUUUUCGUGCUUAGGUGAAGUUGCUAGUGGAGACUUCCUUAAUCUUUUUCCACACAAUUCUGCUGCUUCGGAGUAUCUGUCUUAGAAACGAGGCAUAGAAUCCCGGCAUCAAGGCACUUCCGCAGCAGCAUCUUCGAGUCCUCUCGGGCUUUUGUAUCAAUUAAUGGCUUUCGUCACCCUCGGGUGUCGGCCAGCACAUGUCUAUCCUGGUAUUCAGAGAAUAUCAGGGUCGGGGCGUGUCAUAGAAUCAGCCCGUAGGCCUUUUCAGUUGAGCUUCGGCCAGCGGUGUCAGUACGUGUGGUGUUCGAGGCAAGGGAUUGGAGAAGUUGACCGAGAUUAUAUUGGAAGCUAUCGCGGUCGGAUUCGAAUACUUCGGCCAGGGUGGUAGUGUUUGGGCAGUCAUGGACGAAGUAACGAACUGCUUUCACUACUAGUGAUCAAACUCAUGAGAAACAGAAAAGGGAUCGUAGACAUUCCUCAUCAUCUCUCCCCUUGCCCUUAAUUAGAAAUGUUGAUCUUAUAUUCAGAAGUUUAACAAUUAGUGAUUAUUUCAGGUAAUUAGAUGGCAAAUGUAAGCAUGGCUCGUUGACCCUAG